AUGGCUGGCGGCUGGGUGCCUUCUACUGGUGCUGUGCAGAGGCUUUCCCUAAGGCUGCUGUGAGCCUGUAGGGUUUCCCCCUAGGCUACUAAGCUGG
rnacentral:pre_miRNA from 1 species